AACGAACGCUGGCGGCAUGCCUAACACAUGCAAGUCGAACGAGAUCUUCGGGUCUAGUGGCGCACGGGUGCGUAACGCGUGGGAAUCUGCCCUUUGGUUCGGAAUAACAGUUGGAAACGACUGCUAAUACCGGAUGAUGACGAAAGUCCAAAGAUUUAUCGCCAGAGGAUGAGCCCGCGUAGGAUUAGCUAGUUGGUGUGGUAAAGGCGCACCAAGGCGACGAUCCUUAGCUGGUCUGAGAGGAUGAUCAGCCACACUGGGACUGAGACACGGCCCAGACUCCUACGGGAGGCAGCAGUGGGGAAUAUUGGACAAUGGGCGAAAGCCUGAUCCAGCAAUGCCGCGUGAGUGAUGAAGGCCGUAGGGUUGUAAAGCUCUUUUACCCGGGAUGAUAACGACAGUACCGGGAGAAUAAGCUCCGGCUAACUCCGUGCCAGCCGCCGCGGUAA
rnacentral:rRNA from 1 species